CUACUUUUCUAAUUCAAAUUUGGUAUUCAAAUUCAAAAAUAAAUACAAAUGCAGCACUCAAAAAUCUCAGGAUGAUAUGCAAGAUUCAUUUUAUUUAUUUAUUAUUUUCUUCAUUUAAGGAAAUGCUUCAAGCAGGUAAGGCACUCACUCAAAGUUCUUAUUAGAAAAAUACUCUUUUAAAUGCAUAACCUAAUUAAAAUCCCAUUCAAUUA
rnacentral:lncRNA from 7 species